rnacentral:misc_RNA from 1 species
UUUCCGUUGGUGAACCAGCGGAAGGAUCAUUACAGAGAUCGUGUCCUUCGGGGUAGACCUACCACCCUGUGUUAUUUACGUAUGUUACUUUUGCGGGCCACCUACGGGCUCUCGGCUUCGGCCUAGGUGUGACCGCCAGAGAAACCACAACACUGUGUUUAGUGUCGUCUGAGUAUUAUCAGAUAAGUUAAAACUUUCAACAACGGAUCUCUUGGUUCUG